rnacentral:misc_RNA from 1 species
GAUGAAGAACGUAGCGAAAUGCGAUAAGUAGUGUGAAUUGCAGAAUUUAGUGAAUCAUUGAAUCUUUGAACGCAUAUUGCGCCCUAUAGCAUGCUAUAGGGCAUGCCUGUUUGAGCGUCAUUUACCAUCUCAAGCGCUGCUUGGUUAUGGGUGGUUGUCCUGCCAAAUGGACUCGCCUUAAAAUUAUUGGCAGCUACUCUUGGGCUUUGUGAGCAGUAAAUCCGCUUACUCUUGCCUAUAAGAGCAUCCAUUAGCCAUUAGAAGCUUGACCUCGGAUCAGGUAGGGAUACCCGCUGAACUUAAGCAUAUCAAUAAGCGGAGGA